rnacentral:rRNA from 1 species
CGUAGGUGGCAAGCGUUAUCCGGAAUUAUUGGGCGUAAAGCGCGCGUAGGCGGUUUUUUAAGUCUGAUGUGAAAGCCCACGGCUCAACCGUGGAGGGUCAUUGGAAACUGGAAAACUUGAGUGCAGAAGAGGAAAGUGGAAUUCCAUGUGUAGCGGUGAAAUGCGCAGAGAUAUGGAGGAACACCAGUGGCGAAGGCGACUUUCUGGUCUGUAACUGACGCUGAUGUGCGAAAGCGUGGGGAUCAAACAGGA